rnacentral:rRNA from 1 species
UGAAGGUGUGUGGUAACGCAUGCUGGACGUAUCAGAAGUGCGAAUGCUGACAUGAGUAACGAUAAAGGGGGUGAAAAACCUCCUCGCCGGAAGACCAAGGGUUCCUGUCCAACGUUAAUCGGGGCAGGGUAAGUCGACCCCUAAGGCGAGGCCGAAAGGCGUAGUCGAUGGGAAACGGGUUAAUAUUCCCGUACUUCUUACAAUUGCGAUGGGGGGACGGAGAAGGCUAGGUGGGCCUGGCGACGGUUGUCCAGGUUCAAGUGCGUAGGCUU